ensembl:lncRNA
GGUGAAGAAGCAUCGCCUGAACGCUCAUUCAUUUAAUAUCAUCCUUUACAGGAGUAUGACAAUUUUGGAGGCACCGCUGGGAUUGAUGUACGAUGGAGUGACUCCCUGACCGGUAGAGCCCAUUUAGCAACAUCAUCCCCUUUUUAGUGACCCAGAUGAACUGCAGUGUGAGGCAUUCAGGACGAGUGGUGAAAAAAAAAAAAAGUCUAUUAAGCAGUGCAUGCGCUGGAGUUUCAGUUUGUGACCAGUGGCAGCAAGGUCAAGUCAGUAAGGUAAACACUACUCUCAACAGUCUGUCUACACAGCAGCAAAAAUGGAGGAGCUUAAACAUCUUCAGGAUGAAAUUGGUGAAAAAAUUAUGCACACUAUCACUUGAAAAGCUGGCAAUACUCAGUGUCUUCCUUCGCUUGGCACAAGAGGAUGAGACAAAUGUAACUCGUUUGUACCUGUUGCGCCUUCUUAGUAACUAUCUACUGAGAGCUGAGCUACAGGAGUUAGAAGAUGGCGGCAUGGCUGAACUUUUAACAAUUAAUGAUAAACUGAGCCAGCUAAUGGGAAUAACAAUUAAUGCUUCAGAACAGGUUACAGAGAGAGUGGAAAAUAAACCUGGAGAUGUUAACACAGUCCAGAGGGAAAUGCAAAAAAGUGGAGAAAGUGCAACUGAAUUGUUUUCUGCCAUGCACAUUAGCCCCACCGCACCACAAAAUGCACCAAACAGACAUACAUAUGAAGACCAUGGCCAAGUUUAUUCUCCACCCACAUUUCAGAGACAAGUUACCCCAAAAUGGCAGAAAGACUUCAAGAUAUCUGGUCUCAUAGGAGAUCUAGGGCAGAAAGACCGGCUCUCAUUUUCCAGUCUGGCAUGGCAGAUAGAAGGUGGACUCAAUAAGGGCUAUGCAGAACAGGAAAUAGUAGAUUCUGUCAUCAGAGCUAUCACACCAGGGCUUCAGCUGCGGAGCUAUCUAGAAGGAAAGGCAGGAUUGACACUCCCAACGCUGAGAUGGAUACUCCGUUCUCAUUUUCAGGAAAAAAAUGCUACUGAAUUAU